ensembl:lncRNA
AUACGGAAGAAUGCCUAGCUAUUCUGGUGGUCAAAUAAUUGCACCUUCACUGUCAUGGAAGGGAUGCAUCCGAGGGUUCAUGGCAAACGGCAAUCCAUGUAAAUCAUGGAGAAAAGGAGUGGGAAACCAAGAAAACAUUGAAAUUAGCAAAAAUAUAACAACAUCUAUUUUAGUCUUGCUGGCACCGACGCCUGGCAGCUGCGCUACAGUGCUGUUCAGGCUUUGGUGUAAGUAUGCUGAGGGCUCAGCGGAGCCGUGUUGCAGGAAGGGCUAAGGAAUGUGGCCUGGAUCGCUCUGCAGGAACACCUGAGCCAAGAAACAGACCAGAGAGUCCGAGACACCCCCAGGGUUCUAGAGGUACUAAAUUGUACAUACUGAGUGUGUGUUGUCUAAGGUUUUCCUGGUCAUGUCACAUGGUCAAGAAGUACUCUGGGCCUUAUCUCAAAUGUCAACUUACUCUCAAAUAAAAGAGAUGUCUGACUUUUAAUAUCCAACCGCUGUGUUGUCACAACAACUGCCUUUCCCUUUACAAAGCAUUGGCUAAUUCGCAAACAGAUCUGGUUACCAGAUUAGAGCUGAAUCAAGUCGUUAGGAAAGUCCUAAUUUGUCACAGUCUGUAGUAUGGCAGAUUCUGGAAACGAAUAUAUAGCCUACACUGUCAUGGUGUUGCACUAAUAAAAAGUUUAAAUAUUGAGGAACAAGACUACAAUAGACAGCUCAAACCAACCACUCGUCUUUUUACAGCUUGUCUCUCAGCAGGAAGAGGUGGUGUUACACCUGGGACUGCUGGCUGACAUCGUUUUAUACGCAGUACCAACUGGGAAGACAAUGCCAGGGCACCUGGUACAUGUCAUACUCCUGACAGUCUGCCUGAGCCUACAGCACAACACAGAUUACAUGGGGAAAGCAUCAGGAUGUAGCUACGGGAUAUUCAAACAUUAAACACCUGCACAGAUGGCAUGAUGCCCUUAUAUUAGUCUCCUCGAUAAGUAAUGUGUUAUUGUGGCAUAGUGCAACGCUACAGAUGUGAACUUCAGUGAACUUGAAUACACUUUGCUGAUGAUAAGGUUAAACUAAUCAUAAACCAAAUACAUUUUGGGGAAAGAAUUCAUAUUAUUCCACUUAGCAGACACCUAUCCAAAGCAACUGACAGUCCAGUUAGUGUAUAGCUUUUUCGUAUGUAUGUGAAUCCAUGACCUUGGUGCACUCGUACAAACUGAUCAACACAUGACCGAAGUAAAUAUUUUAGGUUUGUUAGAAUAGUCAUGGAACUCUUACUGGUGCUGAAUCAUCUUGAAAAGGUCCCAGUCCACAAAUAAUCUACCCUGGAUGUAACAUGAAGUGCACUGAGACCAGUAUGUUAGGAUAUGGUUGUUAGCAUGACUCACACUGAGACAAAGCUAAAAGAGAAACAGAAGUUUACAGACGUCUUUUAAUGUUUUUCAACAACAACACAAUUUACACCCAUUAGUUGCACGUACGUGCACACACACACCCAAGAACACAUGUAUUUUUCUUCAAUGCGGUUUGAAAUUGAGGUCCGUUUCUUUGAGUAGAAAAAACAAUUAGUCAUGUUAAAA